UCUGUUAGUUUGUGAAACCUUUUUGACAGAUGUGGGUGCAUGUAAACAAUAAAUAUCGAAGAAUUGUAAUUCCUCAUAAAUAUUAAUAUAAAUUACAUAAUGUGGCAUCAAAUUAAAAUAAAAAUAUAUUAAAAUGACGCGAAUAGGUGGAAAUGUGGAGUGCAUGGAGAGAAACGAGAGGAGUCAUUUUGCCAACAUCGUUAACUAUGAAAUGAAAUCUGUGCAAGAUUAAAGAGGAGUUUACACAAGGAAAAUAGCAGAAAAACAAAUGGAUGAUAAACAAAUAUCAGAUAAGACUUCGCAGCAAACCAUGUGCUUGCAGAACAUUUAUAGCCGGAGAACAAUCUGCGGGGCAAAAUUGUCAGUGUGUGCCUUGAUGCGCAUCACUCAUGCAGCAUCGUUCUUUGCACUGGAAUCAAUGUGCCAUCAUCGUCAGCUGUGGAAUAAAGUUUAUACAACAUAAAACAAGAAACACAUAAAAAACCUCCUAGUUAACCAUGUGCUGGUGAAGGAAAACUUGAAAUUAUAUCUAACAUGGAAUAUAAGAAUAUAUCUGUUACCAGCAGUGCAACGACUGAUUGACGUAACAAACCAAAAGCAAAUUGUGGUUUCAGAAACGGAGAGCGUUUCUAAAACAUCGAGGAUGGAUGCUUUAACAUUUUUUUAGCAAGAUGAAAAAUCAUAUAUUGAAAAUGGAAGAUGCAACAGCCGUGAGAAAUCAAGGAGUAAAAAAAAUGAAACAUCAAGAAUUAUGAAAAGGAGAACAGAUACUAUAAAUAUAUCUAUAUAUUUAUUUCUCUUUUUCUUCUUAUUAUCAAACUUAAUUCUGAUAACGAAUGUAAUACUAACAACAAAUCUAUAUCUUCAAUAUUUUUUAAUUUGUUCCAAAUAUGUUGCAAAUAAAUUAAUUGCCUGUAAAUAAUUUUCGCGCUUUAUCAUGAUAUUGUUUUUGCCGAUUGUCAUUUUACUUUUCGCCGAUUGUCAUUUUAUUUUUUCGAAUUGUCAUUUUACAUUCUUGUACUAAAAAGUAAUACAUGUGGCAAUAUUAUUUACGUCAUUGUAAGUGCAAUAAACUUUUCUUUAUAAUGGAAAAGAAGUGCAAUAUUGCAAAGAUUCAAACGCCAAAAGUAGAACAUGAUGAGUAUCAUUUUCACCAUAAUAAAUCCUGCAGAAAUACAAAGUAAGGAAAUAUAUUAGAGUUA